GGGGAUUUAGCUCAGCGGUAGAGCACUUGCCUAGUAAGCCCAAGGCUCUGGGUUCGGUCCCCAGCCCCCCCA
rnacentral:tRNA from 1 species